AUUUCUUUUAUAAUCACUAUGUUACCAUAGUUAGGUUGAGACUGAGUACUUCUACUUAACUCCUCAGCCUAUCCGCAAAUGUUUUAUCUUCAAACUAUUUUCCGCGAAGGAUUGGAAGAUCUGACCCCUGAUAAUUACUGGGAAUUGGGUGGCCCCUGAGGUGUCUUAUAUCUCUAUUCCCUCAGCAUUCGGGUCCAAGCCUGAUAUUCCUGAUUAUGACUAUUCUUCUAAUAUUGAAUUUGAUAGGAUUUUGUAGAGGAAGAUUAUUGAGUGGUUAGUUCGUUUUGUAGUGCACAAGCCAACCCAUUCGAAGAUUGUCCUUGCCCAUGAGCGGAUCCAGUGGCUAA
rnacentral:lncRNA from 1 species